rnacentral:rRNA from 1 species
UACGUAGGUGGCUAGCGUUGCUCGGAAUCACUGGGCGUAAAGGGUGCGUAGGCGGGUCUUUUAAGUCAGGGGUGAAAUCCUGGAGCUCAACUCCAGAACUGCCUUUGAUACUGAAGAUCUUGAGUUCGGGAGAGGUGAGUGGAACUGCGAGUGUAGAGGUGAAAUUCGUAGAUAUUCGCAAGAACACCAGUGGCGAAGGCGGCUCACUGGCCCGAUACUGACGCUGAGGCACGAAAGCGUGGGGAGCAAACAGGG